AACGCGAAGAACCUUACCCAGGCUUGACAUGCAGAAGACAGUUUCAGAGAUGGGACGUCCCUUCGGGGCUUCUGCACAGGUGCUGCAUGGCUGUCGUCAGCUCGUGCCGUGAGGUGUUGGGUUAAGUCCCGCAACGAGCGCAACCCUUAUCAUUAGUUGCCAACAUUUUAGGUGGGAACUCUAAUGAGACUGCCUGGGUUAACCAGGAGGAAGGUGAGGAUGACGUCAAGUCCGCAUGGCCCUUAUGUCUGGGGCUACACACGUGCUACAAUGGUCGGUACAGAAGGGAGCGAACCCGCGAGGCGAAGCAAAUCCUGAAAGCCGGCCCCAGUUCAGAUUGCAGUCUGCAACUCGACUGCAUGAAGAUGGAAUUGCUAGUAAUGGCGAGUCAGCAACAUCGCCGUGAAUACGUUCCCGGGCCUUGUACACACCGAGUAUA
rnacentral:rRNA from 1 species